rnacentral:rRNA from 1 species
GUGCACCAGGCGCGAAACCUCCGCAAUGCGGGAAACCGCGACGGGGGACCCCGAGUGCCGUGGCAACGCCACGGCUUUUCCGGAGUGUAAAAAGCUCCGGGAAUAAGGGCUGGGCAAGGCCGGUGGCAGCCGCCGCGGUAAUACCGGCGGCCCGAGUGGUGGCCGCUAUUAUUGGGCCUAAAGCGUCCGUAGCCGGGCCCGUAAGUCCCUGGCGAAAUCCCACGGCUCAACCGUGGGGCUUGCUGGGGAUACUGCGGGUCUUGGGACCGGGAGAGGCGGGGGGUACCCCUGGGGUAGGGGUGAAAGUCCUAUAAUCCCAGGGGGACCGCCAGUGGCGAAGGCGCCCCGCUGGAACGGGUCCGACGGUGAGGGACGAAGGCCAGGGGAGCAAACCGGGAUUAGAUACCCCGGUGUA